GCAAUCAAUUCCCACCGUGUUCCCAAAAGCUACAAAUAUCAGCUUUGGUUGGAAUUGCUUUUACAUGCCGGACUCAAUUUUAAAAAUAGUUACCCAAACACCAAUUUUUUUAACAAACUCACUUCUAAGAUUUCUAAACUCACGUUUACGGCUCCCCACCACGUAACCAAACGAGUGCUUAGCUUUUUCAAAUCGAUUCUCUACUGUGGAAAUACACUAGCAUCUAUUUGUCUCUUUUGCCCUUGAAUCUCAACACUUCCUUUCACAUACCUUUUCAAAUCUGACAAAGCCCUUCACGGUGUCUGCAUGCUUUGUCAUGUUGUUGUAAAAAAAUAUGUUUGUACUGUUGCUGUGGUUUUUUCUUCUUCUGUGUGUUGCAAAUAAAUCUCAAGGUUGAAGAUGACACGUUUUUUGAGAAGAAAUGGUCUUUUGUCUUCUUGCUCUUUAAAAGCCCAUCAGUAUCAGGUAUCCAUUUAUUUUAUAGAAAAAAAAAUUCAUAUAUAACUACGAAUUUUACUAGUUACCAAUUACAUUUUUAAUUCCCUAAAAAAAAUACAUUUUUAAUAAUUUUAUAAAAUGCAACAUAAAAAUAACUAAAAAUGGAAAUGAAAGUUGUAGACAAAAAUAAACGAAAUAUAGUGUUGAAUGCACACAUAUAUGAAAAUCCAUUUUGGUCAUUUACACACCCAAAAGUAAUUUUGACACCAAAUAUCCAAACAAAAUCUUUCAUACAAAUAACUUCAAUUGUGAAGGUAACCAAACAUAAACCACUUUACAUUAAACUCACUUUUAACUAUAAUCAAUUUUGUAAAAUCAGUUCAAACAAAAUCAAUUUUCUCCACAGCAAAAUCAAACACACACUAUAUGAAUUAAUAGCAAGGUAAUAAGAAAAGGAAUAAACAAAAUAUAAAAAAAAACUACAACAUGAGAAAUGGUACUCCGUGUGUACUGACGUGAGUGGUUUAUGGUUAUAUUUCUUUUACUAGAAGUGGGUAGUUACGUUUUUUUUAAAGAAAAUGUGGGUAGUUACAUAUAAACGUGGGUAAUUUUUUCUAUUAAAAAUUAAAUAAAAUAAAAUUAAUAAGGGUAAAAUUGAAAUAAAAUAUAAAAAGCUAUAAUCUUUAAGCUCAAAAGCUACUUGAAUUAACUUCUCAUAAAAAGCUAUAAGCUGGUGAGAAAAACUUAUUAUCAAACACGUCAUAUUUUGAUCCAACAAACUUAUAAACUAAUUCAACAAAUUAUAAACUAGCUUCUCGAGGUUACCAAACAUAACCUAACUGUGUCAAUAUUAAUAAGUUAUUUUCAAACACACUCUAAUGAUGUAGAUAAGAGUUGUUGCAUUAAAGUAGCUAAAUAUUUGACAAAAGUGCAUUCAUUUUAAGGAUCGUUGUUACUUGGUGGAUAAAGCAAAAAAUAUGACAAUUCAUUCAACAAUUUAAAAUAUUUGGACUACUUAGCAUCAUAUUAAUAACGAUGUGUCCUAAUCCAAUUAUCAUGGGUCCUAACCCUAUUAUCAUAGAUUAUAAAAAGCAUUAGUAACGACGAAUAUUUUGAUGAAGUAAGAUACAAAACCAAAAGGCAAGAAAAAAAUAAAUUAAAGAAGAACGUGGCGAAAGAAGUCAACAUCAAUGUUGACUUCAAACUAGGAGUAAUUGCCUGUUUGACAUCUUUAUUUUUGAAUAACGUUUCCAGCUAGACAAAUAAUCGAGUUUUCAUUUUUUUAAAAUUUUUCAAAAUUAAUAAUUCAACAAAUUAUUGAAAGAAACUUUAAAUAAACGACAAUAAGUUUACAUCAAAUAUUUAUGACGACCAUCUCUCAACUUUGAGAUUUUCUUUUAUCAUGAUUCAUGAUGAGUAUCUAAAACUCAACUAUAAGAGUUUUUGCAGGAGCUCUAAUUAUAUAUUUUGUUAACAUACAUAAAUUUCUUUAUAAAUAUUUAGGUAAUAUGUCUGUAUAAAUUAUUUUAUAUAUUAUAUAUUUUUUAAUUGCUUAACUAUGUGAACGUAUUAGUAUUCACUAACUAGUCAAAAAAUGUAUCUUCACAUCUUAUCAAUCACAACAUAUGAAGUCAAUGGACCAGUCAAAAUCUCUUAUGUCGACUACUUAUAAUUUGGACAAGCUAACAUAACAAACAAAAAAGCAAAAUGCGAGUUUUGUUUUUCAAUUAUAUUGGAUGGAUAACUGCAAAUUUAAUGGGAAGGUUCAUAUUUUGGUUUGAUGCACACAAUCUCUUGGAUUUGAAUUGACAUAUUUAAGUUAAUCACACUUGCAAGGAGAACAACUAUAGUGCAGAUUGACUUAUCAAUUUUAAUUUUACUUUUGAUUCUUUAAAUUGUACUAUUGUGGAGACUCGUGCAAGUGUGUUUCAUAAGCAUUUGCCUCAAUAAAUUACUUGUAAUACUUAUGAUAUCUAUAAAUAUAGUUGGUUUUUAUUUUCAUUUUAGAAUAAUUUUUUUAAGGGUCUUGCUAGAGUAAAAUGACUGGUGAUGAAUUUGUUUGUACACCUUAAAUUUUUUCUACAUUCAUUUACAUUUUAUUUUCUCUCUUAUUGUCGCAUCAUAAACUAUACUUAUCACUUUACUCUAUUAUUUCUAUGUCUGUCAAGGUGUAUAAGAAAUGUAUGAAUAUUUCUCUCAAAAAAAAAAGUAUGAAUAUUGGCUCUUUCGCAACAAAAAUUGUAAAACGGAAAAGAAAGGACAAUCGAAAGAAAGUAGUAGUUAACAAAAGAAUACAUAUAAUAAGGGUUUUGUUAACCAGUGUUCUAUGAACACUCGUCAAAAAAUCUUUACAUAAAAUUUUUUAUUAAAAACUUAUCUAUUUUGAUUGCUUAAUAAUAUUGCGCACUAAUUAAUAUUUUUCAUAUAUGAUAAUGUAUCAAACCAUGAAGCUAAUCAUUGAAAGUGUUAUAGUAUCAUUUUAUCAAAAAUAAAAAAGUGUUGUAUCAUUAAUAAUAAUCCACAACAAAUUGUAAUUUAUAUAAAAGAAACAUCAAUUAUAAACAAGUCUAAUACUAUACACACAAUGGAAAAAAGUUGUCUAAAGCAAUAGAUUAAGAGAUGAUCCUCAAUUUGCAAGCCGUGUCUCCUACCUACUCAAGUCACUUUCAUAAUAUUAAUAUUAGUGGAGGAUAGCUAUUUGGGUCAAUGUUACCAAUUAUUUGUCUCUAAAUAUGCAAAAUAAUACUUUGUUUCCCUUGCUGAAAUUCCAUAUGCUUUGCUUUACUCAAGUUUACGUCAAUAUAAUUUGCAUUUUUCUCUCUUUAUAAUUGUGUGUUUGGUAAUUGGUGUCCACAUAAAGGAAAAGCAAAUACUAACUUUAUUCUUUGUGAUUAUUAAUUAAUUAAUAAGGUCAACAGAGUAGCAUAAGCACAAGAUUGGCUGCUUAGGCUAAACAAGUGAAAAACUAAUGACUCAUCCAUACCAUUGUCUAUCUUACCUAAUGGAUGGUACACCAAUCCUAUGUAUUGUCUGGUUCUGUCCAAAUUAUCGAGAGGCAAUCAUAAGGAGCUGAAAGUAUAUGAUUUUUUUAAUUUAUUUUUAAAGAGUAACAACAUGAACUUUAAAAUUAUAAUAUCUCCAUGCGGAGUAGGCAAAGGCUAGAACAUACAUAGAAAUAAUUGUGGCCAUGUAGGUGAGUACGUGGACAAUUUGGAGGUUACAAAGCACGGAUAUUCAUCGGAUUAGGCGUGUCUUGGUGUCGGACACGACAGACACGUGUCGUGUUCAACACUGACACGAUACUAACACAUAUAAUUAUACUUAGUUAUGUGAUUUUCUCAAAUUAUUAGUGUGUCGACUUGUUAGUGUUCGUGUCGUGUCCGGUAUCCAUGUUUGUGUCCGUUUCCGUGCUUCAUAGUUUGAAGGUUAUGAAGAAUUGAUUAUUAUGUAAGUAAAGAGCCAUCCACGAUUACUCUAAAAUAAUUUUAUAUAUUUGAUAUCCAAUGAGAGUCUUUCUAUUUAUUCAUAUCAUCUCACUAUUUUUUAAAACCAAUUGACCCAAUGCUUCAAUACCUCUAUUAAAAACUACAAAUUGUAGAGUCUAAUUGACAUACGUUUUGACCUAUGUCCGACGAUAAAUAUUUGGACCAUACGAGUCGACGUAAUUUCAUAGGAGGAUUAAGUAAACAUAAUAGGGAGGCGACCACCCUCGCCCUUUCUAACUAUAAAGUUAGAACAUGGAAAAGGAUCAAGAAUAGCUAAUGAUAUCUAUGUAGCCGUUCGUAUAUAUGUCACUUGAUCACAUCAUAUAUACUCCUAACCAUAGUUUUCAGAAUCGGCUCGGUCAUCGACUCGGCGGGGGUACUGGGUCAAUGGGUCAAUGGUCGAAGCAGUGAGUCAUUGGUCGAACCGCAUGACUGAACCGGAACCACUCGGAUGACUCGGUUAGAUAACUCGGUCCUUAGAUUAAAUUUAUAUAGUUAUAUAACCGGAUUAACUCGGAUUUAAUCGGUGACUCGGUCACUUUAGAAACUAAAAUAAUGACCCCUAUAAAAUAAGAAAAAAACUAUCCAACAAUAAUAAUUUCAUAGCUAAUUGCUCAAAUUCAAAACAUAGUCAUAACUCAAAAUACAUCUUGGUAGUAAAAAUCCAAAUAGAUCCCAAAAAAGUAUGAUUCCAACAUAAAUUAAAAAAAGAGAUUGCCCCUGUUAUAAAAAUUCAAAAAGAUCCCAAGAAAAUAUAAUUCCAACACAAGUAUUAUCAUCAAUAACAUCUUAAUUCCAAGGAGUCAAUAUUGAUUGAAUUUGAAGCUCAUCAAGGAAUUCAACAUCUUCUCCAGCAGCUUCAUCAAAAACAUUACUUUGAUCCAUGUUUUCUGCAUUAGUGUCAGGUGCAUCAUUGCCAUAAUCAUCAUCCUCAUCCUCAUCCAAAUUCAAUCCAUCUAUGAAAACAUCAAUUUAAAUAAAUAUUAACAAUUGGUAUAUAACCAUAUAGUGAAAUUAUGAAAUUUUAACCUUAUAAGAAAACACAUACAUACCAAUAUCAUUUGAAAUAGGUUGGAUGGUCAUAUUGGCAAGAUCAUUGCGUAAUGAUUCCAACUCCUCAACUGUUAAAAAUGGCGGUGAAUCCUCCAACACCCAAUUAUCAUGAUGAUCAUGAAGUAAUUCAUCAUUGAUGGGGUCAUAGUUUCGAAUUUUGUUGUUCCUAUAAUUCAUUAUAAAAAUAUAAAGAUUUCUAUCUAAAUGUAAAAAUAAAAAAUGAUGAACAUAUAAGGUUUAUUGUGAACAAUCUCAUUAUGCAAAGAAACAAACACUAUUUUAUCAAUGGAUUAAUAUAACUAAAAUAUAGUAGAAAUACAUACCUAUUUUCUAGCAUUAAGUUGUAACGAACAAAGACUAGAUCGUUAAGCCUUUGAUGCUCCAACCUAUUUCUUUUUUUUGAGUGAAUAUGCUCAAACACACUCCAGUUUCUCUCGCAACCAGAAGAGCUACAAGUUUGACUUAGAACCCGAAUUGCCAAUUUUUGCAAAUGUGGUGCUUGACACCCGUAAAGUUCCCACCAUUCAUCUAUAAAAUUGCAAAAUUUCAUCAAUUAAUACAGUAUUACCGUAAGUUUAUAUGAUACAAUGAAAGGUAAGAUAUUUGUAAAUGGAUCAUCGUAAGUGUAUAUGAUACAAUGAAAUGUAAGAUACCUGGAAAUGGUGAAUUUCGAGCUUCUACAGCAGAUUUCCUUCCAAAGUCGCCCUCGGAAUUUCUAAAUAUACUUGUCUCAGUAUUUAACUUUGCUCGCAACUCAUGAUUAUUACGAGCAUACUUUUCAAUGACAUCUAUAAGACCAGAUGUGGUGGACUUGUGUUUCUCAAACUCAGGACUGAAUCUACAAGAUGGAUUUAACCAAUAACCAGCAGCAUGAAGAUUUUUUCGAAGUUGUGAAUCCCAUCGAUCAUCUAUGAUCUUCAAGUAAGGCUCCACUUUUGUCUUAUUUCUUUGAAACCUCUUCACCAUCUCCUCUCUAGCCUUAUACAUAUUUCUGUAAAGAAAACCCAUAGCAGGUUUAUCUUCACUGUCCACGAGACGCAACACACAUACAAGUGGUUAUGUGAGUUUCACUAUGUCAGCACAAGCAGUCCAAAAGUUAGUGUUCAAGACUUGUUCCACAAAUUGUUUGGCCUUGGCUUCUUUUGCAUAAGCAGAAGUUGUCCAUUCUUGAGAUGUUACCAUGGCUCUAAGUGCAUUUUUCUGAGACAAAAUACUCUGCAAAGCAAUGAAAUUAGUGGCAAAGCGAGUUGGAGCAGGACGAAGUAUCUCUCUUCCAUGAGUAAAUUUCCUCAUCAAAUACAAUGGAUAGCAAUGAUUAUAUAUAUACUUGGUAACAUUUGUGGCAUGUGAAACUGCCUCUUUAACUUCAGGUAAUUUUCCAAUGUCUUGAAACAUCAAGUUAAUGCAAUGAGCUGCACAAGGAGACCAAUACAGGCCAGGGAACUCUUUUUCCAAUAACCUACCAGCAGCAACAUAGUUUGCAGCAUUAUCUGUCACUAUCUGAACAACAUUUUCAGGGCCAAUAUAUAACACUAUUUCCUUGAAAAGCUUAAACAACAUCUCACCAGUUUUUGAAGCACCUGAAGCAUCAACAGAUUUGAUAAAAACUGUUCCUUUAGGGCAAUAAACUAAAAAGUUUAUCAGAGUUCUCCUAACCCCGUCAGUCCACCCAUCUGCCAUAAGAGUACAACCAGUAUUCUUCCAAAUCUCACGGUAUUUCUCUAUCUUUUUCUUUGUUUCAUCAACCCACUUAUUUAGCAAAGGACCACGCAAAUCAUGUAUAGAAGGAGCUUUAUAUCCGGCUCCCAUGCAACAAAGAGCAUCGACCGCAGACUGAAAAUAUGGUGAAUUUGCUGCAUUGAAGGGAAUAGAUGCAGCAAUGAACCAUUUUGCAAGUGCAAGAUCACACUUUUCUACAACUUCCUUGGUUUGCAAAACACUUUUUAUAGUAGGCUGUGAUCCAGGAGUUGUUCUAGGCAAAAAGUAAUUAUCAAAGCUUCCAUUGUUCGUUCCCUUUUGAGAUGCAACAACCACUGACCUAGGUUGUUCUCUUUGUGUUUGCUCUUCAUUACCUAUUGCAUGUUCAGUUUUUCUUUUCUUGAGCCUUGUCUCUUCACGAUUUUGUUUCAUCUUAAAGCGGACUUCUUCAGGAGCUUGGCUGCAUGCUUCGACUUGUCCAGUUUCUCCAGCCAAGUGUAACUUUAAUCUAUUAAUUCCACCUCCCUUCAUAACUUUGUUACAAUAGAUACAUUGUGGUUUUUCUUUGUCACUGUCUAGGACAAUUUUAGCGUGACCCCAAGCUAUAUCGGUUUUUGCCCUAACAUUCCUUUGAGUUUGAGAUUCUUGAGUCGAAGCUUCUGCUGAUGGUUGUGUUGGUGCUUCAGAAGAGGCCAUAACUAAUCACAAAUACAUAUGAUAUAUCAGAGACAUUUACAUUACAUUUACAUGGAAUUAUGAAACAAUCAGAAUUAAACAUUAACAUGAAAUGAACCAUUUAACAAUCAGUUUAUCAGAAUCAACAACGUACGUGGAAUGAGGAGUAUAAAACAGAGGAGAGGAGAGGAGUCAGUAUAAAACAUGUAGUAAGUAUAAAACAGAGGAGUCAACAUUAAACAUGGAAUGAGGAAUCAACAUAUAAACAAUCAGAGAUUCAGAAUUAAACAUGAAAUUAAACAUUAAACAAUCAGAAUCUACAUGAAAUUAAACAUUAAACAAGAAAUCAAAACAACAAAUCAAAAAGAAGCAAAGAAUAACAAUCUAAAAAAAAAAAGGGUUCUCUGCAACGACGGUGUACGUACGUGAGAUAAGCGGAAGCGGAAGCGGCUAUGGCGAGGGCGACGGCGACCUGGAGUUUUCGCGGCGGCGACGGAGAAUGGCGUGGAGUGGACCGGUUUCGUUUUAGCUUCUCUUCUCUCUGUACGUGAAAACUAAGAACAGAGUAUGAGGUUUCGUUUUAGCUUCUCUGACCCUUCUAAUUCCGUUUUUUUUUUUUUUUUUCAAUUAACAAAUCCAAAACGACGUCGUUUUGGUAAGCAAAAAAAAAAAAAAAAAAAAAUUGAACCGGUCUGACCCACGACUCGGCCGAGUCACCGGUUUUGGCCGGUUUUGACCGGGUUAUCUGCAUGGCCGAUCCAAAUGAUGGCUCGAACCGGCCUACCCACCGGUUCACGGUCCGACCGGUCCGACCGGCCGGUCCGAGCCGAGUCUGAAAACUAUGCUCCUAACGACCAAAUAUCCUUCUUACAUUGAAAAGGUAUGUGUAUGUCCUCUCGUACCUUAUCAUAUCAUUGUCACCAUUUAAGGUUAGUGGUGUAAUAAUGUCUCCCAAACACACACUACAUCUUAAAAUUUAUGAUAUAAAGUAGUAAAAUAGUAUUUAUUGAAUCUCAUUAAAGUUCACUUUAGCAAUAGCUUACACAAGAUAGUACACACCUCUUAAACUAGCAUGCUCAUCCUACAAAGCCUAAUUCAUCUAGUCAUUUGGAAAUAUUUACUUUAAAUACUGUCCUGAACGCCAGUUGUUUUAAUUUUUAACCACAAAAUCUCACAUUGUGGAUUAUCUUUAGUUUUGAUUAUUAUUCUCAACCACAUAAUUGAAGAACUCUACCAUUUUUGCUAAAAAUGUUUCAACAGUUUCUGUUUUACAGCUGUUAGCAUGUCCAAUUGCCCAUUAUUUUGGAAUUCAUGAUUAUCGAUACUUCCUUUCUUGUGAAUCCAAAACUGUCAUACUCGUUCUACUGGCACUUUUGAGGUUACGGAGUGCUUGCAAGAUUUUUGUACACAAAGGUUUGUCUCGUUGGCAUACUGCAAAAUAUCUUUGUAAAUGUUCUGGCAAAGCAUUUAAGAUUGUUCUGCUAAUAUUACCCACGAAGAUCUUUCACUGCUAGUGAAGUAACUUCCAAUUUUGUAGAGUAUAUCCAUAAAAAUAUAGUCGUAGGUUUGGCUCCAUAAUUUAAUUUAAAAUAAUCACGAGCAGUUUCAAUAGUUUUACACAUCAAUCUGCUCAUUUUUCUUGUUUAUUCACAUUGAAAGAUGUUGACAUGUAGAAAAUUCACAUUGAAAGAUGUUGACAUGUAAAAAAUGAUAGCCUGGAUAUAGAAAACUACAUGUAGGUUCAACAGUUUUGCACCAAUCGGUUCAUUUUCCUUGUUUAUUCAAUUUGAAAAAUGUUAAUUAACAUAUAAAUGUGUAACCCAUUUUUACACAUUUUGGUCUCUAAAUGUGUGACAUCACGUGUCCAUGUCAAUACUUGGCAUUAGAAAACAAUUUUCUGUUUUAACUUUUUAAAUUAUAAAACUCUUACAUUGUUUCUACUCUGUUUUAUGUUUUAAUAUUUAAAUAAUUUCUACUUAAAACAAAACUAUUAUCAUUUUUUUUAGAGGAACAAUACUAUCUAUUAUCAUUUUUUCCUGUACAAACUUUGAAAAUAUUAUCACGGUUUCCUGAAAAUUAAAAGUAAAAGCGGGAUGAAAAUGUAAAUGUUUUCUCAAACCAAACACUUGGUUUAUCCAAUGGAUGUGUCUCAGUUGUUUAAGGAGUGAGUGAUUUGCUUGUAGAAUAAUGUUGCAUUUCUCUAUCUGCGGCUUGGUGCUUAGAAUACGUGAAGAGUUUUAAAUUACAAUCCAAACACUCGAGGGAAAUCGGUCUCAUAAGUCAUAACUCAUCUAAAGGAUUGAAACUUGAGGAAAUACUAUGUAGAGUUACUAAGAUGUCAAAUAGAUAAUUUCAAAUCUCAAGUUUAAUUGUCUCCAUUGCUAAUUUUGGUGGGUUAGUUCAUGCACAUCAAUCUGACUUUAAAUGAGGCUCCCGCAAGUAAACAACGAGAUUCAACCCUUUGGAUUAGUCGAUCAUUUGAUCGGAUAUAAAAAAAAAUUAAAAAAAUUGAAUACACUAAUUAUGUUGUUUACGUUGUACAUAACAUCCUGAUUUCUUGUAUUCAAUAUGUGAACAAGAUAUUAGAUACCUUCAAAUCAGAGUAAAUAAUCAUUUUUUUUUUUAAUGGUUUUGCUAAUGAGUGGCUUAAACACUCUUUAAACAUUUUAAAAUAAUCAAUUAUUCUUUAAAAAAGUCAAAUAUUUCGAUUUUCAAUGCAUUGAAUAUACAUUUUUUUUCAUAAAUACUUACAAUUUAUGGAUCUUUAAGAGUGUCCAGGAGAUACUCGUUAGAAUUUCCCUUUCUUAAAUGGUAAUACUUAAUAAGCAUUCUAUCUUUCUAAGACAUCAAUACAACACGUAAAAAAAAAUACUAAAUAGUCUAAUGCCACUAUCCACUUGCAGAAUACCCAUUUAAAGCCAAAGUAAAGUUAUAUAUAGACUAACCCACCUAAAUUGAUACCAUGCAGAAUCAAACUUGAGACCUAAAGAGUAGCACACUCCAAACUCUCAAACCAGCAAUACUAAAGCCAACCAAGUGGGUUGGAGAAACAAAACCUUUAAUAGCAUGUUUGAAUAACAGCCCUUGCUAGCGUCAAAAGAUAACAUUAUUACCAUCCAAGCAAAAUCAAUUUUUUUAACCUCUAUUUCUCUUGGUUUCAAUUGUUCAAAUCAAUUCUAUCAAAUUUUAGACAAUUCAAGCAAUAAUCUAAAAGGUACAACCCACAAUUAGGACAUAACCCGUCCAUACUGGAACUGCAUGUCACAAUCUCCCCCACUUCUCCUCCACUCCAUUAGAGCCACUAUUCCAAUGGCGUAUGUAAUAGGCUCAUAGAAAGAGACAACUAAAGAGAAAAACAGUUCAUCUAAGUACUUUUUUGAAUUCUGCUCUUUACCAAAACGGUUUUACUCAUUCCCAAAGUAAAUGUUCAUAUUAUCCCUGCGUGAGUUAACAUGUACUCCGUGAGUUAACUCACGCCAGUCAUAAAAAAACAAUUUUUUCACGGGAGUUAAGUCCCGCUAAACCACUUUCAGAAGAAUACUAUGAUAGUGCAUUUUCAUAGUGCAUUUGUCAUACAAAGUAGAAGCUUAGUUUCAUGUAACAAAAAGAAAAAAAACAAAUGAAAAAAGGGUUCCUAGCUAGAUAAGAAAUUCAUAUGUGAUAGCUUGAAUUAAGAAUAUUGGAAUCUAAUGAAAUUUAUAUGUAGAAGUUGUAGAAGAAACUUUAUGAUGAACUUGACUCAUCUAAUUCAUCAGCUAACAACAAAUUAAUAAUGCUUUUCUCCUUGCUCAGAGAAAUCACGUGUGAAGAGUGGUGUGGACAUCCUAGCUUGCGACACGAAUUUGGAAGAAGAAGCAUGCAUAUGUGACAAUACAUGACUGAGAAUAAAAUAGUAAAUUCGGCUGCUUUUUGUUAGAGAUGAUGUCACAUGAAUAUAAAAGUAACUAGAAUUGUAGCGUGAGUUAACUCACGCGAGGUGUAAAUGGCAACGUGAGUUAACUCACGCAAUGUGUGUUAACUCACGUUGGCAUUUGUACUAGCGUGAGUUAACAUGAAUAGGGUUAUUUUGGUCAUUUAUUUUGGAAAUGAGCGAAACCGUUGGGUAAAAGAGCAGAAUUCUACUUUUUUUAGUGUUUAUUGUUACUUUCAGCUUCAUCCCCAUGUCUGUGACAAAAACUAAAACUAAGCAUGUGAUUCUUAAUAACACAUUCCAAACCCAAGUCUCGAAGACAACUCACGUCUAGGUAACCAGAAAAGAAUAAAGUGCAGUUGCUAAGUAUCAGACUAAGAUGUGUCUACUUUUCUCAAGUGUGACGAAUUUCUUUAAGGCCGGAGAAAGUUGUCGAUGCUAG
rnacentral:lncRNA from 1 species